rnacentral:rRNA from 1 species
UACGUAGGGGGCAAGCGUUGUCCGGAUUUAUUGGGCGUAAAGAGCGUGUAGGCGGUUUGGUAGGUCCGUUGUGAAAACUCGAGGCUCAACCUCGAGACGCCGAUGGAAACCAUCAGACUAGAGUCCGGAAGAGGAGAGUGGAAUUCCUGGUGUAGCGGUGGAAUGCGCAGAUAUCAGGAGGAACACCAAUAGCGAAGGCAGCUCGCUGGGACGUUUACUGACACUGAGGCGCGAAAGCGUGGGGAGCGAACAGG